rnacentral:rRNA from 1 species
UACGAAGGGGGGCUAGCGUUGUUCGGAAUUACUGGGCGUAAAGCGCACGUAGGCGGAAUGUUAAGUCAGGGGUGAAAUCCCGGGGCUCAACCCCGGAACUGCCUUUGAUACUGGCAUUCUCGAGUCCGGAAGAGGUGAGUGGAAUUCCGAGUGUAGAGGUGAAAUUCGUAGAUAUUCGGAGGAACACCAGUGGCGAAGGCGGCUCACUGGCCCGAUACUGACGCUGAGGUGCGAAAGCGUGGGGAGCAAACAGG